rnacentral:rRNA from 1 species
CAAUAGCGUAUAUUAAAGUUGUUGCGGUAAAAAAGCUCGUAGUUGGAUUUCUGUUGAGAGCGACCGGUCCAUACCAUGUAUGCGUAUCUGGCUUGCUCUCGGCAUCCUCUCGAUAGACGUUGCUGCGCUUGAUUGCGUGGCGCGGAUCUCGGGACUUUUACUUUGAGGAAACUAGAGUGUUCACGGCAGGCUUUCGCCAGAAUACAUUAGCAUGGAAUAAUACUAUAGGAUCUUGGUUCUAUUUUGUUGGUUUCUAGAAUUGAGAUAAUGAUUAAUAGGGACAAUUGGGGGCAUUCGUAUCAACACGUCAGAGGUGGAAUUCUUGGAUUGUGUUGCGACGAACUACUGCGAAAGCAUUUGCCAAGGAUGUUUUCAUUGA